rnacentral:rRNA from 1 species
GAUCAUGGCUCAGGACGAACGCUGGCGGCGUGCUUAACACAUGCAAGUCGAACGAAGAGCGAUGGAAGCUUGCUUCUAUCAAUCUUAGUGGCGAACGGGUGAGUAACGCGUAAUCAACCUGCCCCUUCAGAGGGGGGACGAACAGUUGGAAACGACUGCUAAUACCGCAUACGAUCUAAUCUCGGCAUCGAGGAUAGAUGAAAGGUGGCCUCUACAUGUAAGCUAUC